UGGAGGAAACCCUAGAAACUAGGUUUUGCGCACACCCUAAGAAAGAGGACUCUGCUCUCCUUUUUCAUGUCAAGAACUCAUGCCCCAAGUAUCUUCACAUGAAGAACUCUUCUUCUGGUAUCUUACACACACAAAAGAUGAAAUAAAACCUUUUUAUUUCAAUGUGUAAGGAGGUUGGAAUGAAGAAUCCUAGAGAUGUUGGACUCUUCCAUAGUUGUCGCACCUUCAUAAUUUUCACGCCCAAAAGAAAUAUGGGAUGCUAC
rnacentral:lncRNA from 1 species